rnacentral:rRNA from 1 species
CAGUGACACAGGGAGGUAGUGACAAGAAAUAACAAUACGGGGCUUAAAGUCUUGUAAUUGGAAUGAUGGGAAUUUAAACCUCUUCCAGAGUAUCAAUUGGAGGGCAAGUCUGGUGCCAGCAGCCGCGGUAAUUCCAGCUCCAAUAGCGUAUAUUAAAAUUGUUGCAGUUAAAAAGCUCGUAGUUGAAUUUCUGCUGCAUUGCUUGUGUCCCUCUGGGGUCUGUGCAUGUGGCUUUUUUCGGACGGAGUUUCUUUGUCUGAAUGUUUACUUUGAGAAAAUUAGAGUGCUCAAAGCAGGCUUUCGCCUUGAAUAGUUUAGCAUGGAAUAAUAAAGUAGGACUUUGGUUCUAUUUUGUUGGUUUUAGGUACCAAAGUAAUGGUUAAUAGGAACAGUUGGGGGCAUUCGUAUUUAACUGUCAGAGGUGAAAUUCUUAG